GGCGAACGGGUGAGUAACACGUGAGUAAUCUGCCCUGGCGCUCUGGGAUAGCCCACCGGAAACGGUGAUUAAUACCGGAUAGGACCACUUCACGCAUGUGAUGGUGGUGGAAAGUUUUUUCGGCGCAGGAUGUGCUCGCGGCCUAUCAGCUUGUUGGUGAGGUAACGGCUCACCAAGGCUUUGACGGGUAACCGGCCUGAGAGGGUGACCGGUCACACUGGGACUGAGACACGGCCCAGACUCCUACGGGAGGCAGCAGUGGGGAAUAUUGGACAAUGGGCGGAAGCCUGAUCCAGCAACGCCGCGUGAGGGAUGACGGCCUUCGGGUUGUAAACCUCUUUCAGUACCGACGAAGCGCAAGUGACGGUAGGUACAGAAGAAGGACCGGCCAACUACGUGCCAGCAGCCGCGGUAAUACGUAGGGUCCGAGCGUUGUCCGGAAUUAUUGGGCGUAAAGGGCUCGUAGGCGGUUUGUCGCGUCGGGAGUGAAACACCGGGCUUAACUCGGUGCUUGCUUUCGAUACGGGCAGACUAGAGGUAUGCAGGGGAGAAUGGAAUUCCUGGUGUAGCGGUGAAAUGCGCAGAUAUCAGGAGGACACCGAUGGCGAAGGCGGUUCUCUGGGCAUUACCUGA
rnacentral:rRNA from 1 species